UAGUCUCGCACAGAUGCAUAUCAAUAAGCGGAGGAAAAGAAACUAACAAGGAUUCCCUCAGUAAUGGCGAGUGAAGCGGGAAGAGCUCAAAUUUGAAAUCUUGAAAGGUCACCUUUCACGAAUUGUAGUUUAAAGAAGUGUUUUCUGUUACGAUCGUAAUAUAAGUUCUUUGGAAUAGGACAUCACAGAGGGUGAGAAUCCCGUCUAUGAUUGCGAUUUGUAGCUUUGUGAUACACUUUCAAAGAGUCGGGUUGUUUGGGAAUGCAGCCCAAAACGGGAGGUAAAUUUCUUCUAAGGCUAAAUAUUGGCGAGAGACCGAUAGCGAACAAGUACCGUGAGGGAAAGAUGAAAAGAACUUUGAAAAGAGAGUUAAACAGUACGUGAAAUUGUCAAAAGGGAAGCGUUUGACUCCAGUGUUGUUUUCUCGAAAAUCAAUUAAAAAUGGCUCGAUUUUGUAUUGUUGAGACCUUAAAAGCUCACUGUACAUUUUUCGUGUCUUUUUUAAUGCACUUUUCGUUUAACAAGUCAACAUCAGUUUCUUUUGUUGUAAAAGGGUCAUUGGAAGGUGGCUUUCUUUUCGGAGAAAGUGUUUAUAGCCUUUGGCCUCUGCAAUCGGAGAGACUGAGGUCUGCAGCGUAGACUCUUCGGGGUUAGAUACAUUUGUGCUAAGUUAUAGCUUUUUAUAGACAACUUGUUGACUAUAAUUAGUCUUGUAGCUUACUCAGCUUAUGCUAUUUUACCUACGCUUAGGAUGUUGAGUCGUAGAGCACGCAG
rnacentral:rRNA from 1 species